rnacentral:lncRNA from 1 species
CGCAAGGGCAACCAGGUCCUGUGAACUCGACUUCCUCCCUCGUCUCCACCAUUGCGCAGGCGCAAAUUAUCACAUUCAGCCCUUCCCACCGCUUCCCGCCCUUCUUUGAAACUUCUGGCGUCCUGUUGUGGGCGGAAAAAACGCCUCUAUCUCUCUGCGCAGGCGCAGCCUGUCCGGAGCCAAUGAAUGAGUACAGAGAAACAAGAAAAUUAUAUGAACUGAUGGAAAGUAAAUUGAACCAAGAAAACAAGAUACAUGAUUACAAGAAUGUACAAGUAACGAACAACAAAAAGGUCCUAGGUUGAAGGCUGUGAAAGUAUAAUGAUCUGAGAAGAGAUCCCAGCUGGUUUCAAGAAGGAGCUGUUAAUUCUCUGCAAGUUUUGGAUGGCAACAAUAUGAACAGGUGAGCUAGUUUCCAUCUCCCAGUCCCUUCCUCUAAUACUGCCUCCAACUUCUUACAAGCGACCAUGAUUUCAAGAGAGAAGGACAAGGCAGGUUCUCUGAACAGCUAUUUGAAGGCAGUGACACCUCUGAGACAGCCUUUCAUUUUAGGUAGUGUGUUGGUGGUGGUGUUAAGGAAAUAAUAGGAGUAGGAGGCAGGAGAGGACUCCUUGAGGUCAGAAAAAAAAGAUGGAGAGUUUUUAUGGCCCACUUACAAGUCUCACACUGGACCAAAUGUGCACUACUAUUUCGUUAUAUUAAAGAAAGAUAACUACCUUUGAGGAGAUGGAAGUUUACUCAGAGAGGAUUUAGCACUCUCCAAAUCCAUACUCAAGAUGACAGCACUGAUGGAUUUUCUCACUUAAAAACAUAACAGACAUCACCAAUGUGACUGAACACUCAA